GCCUCCUCGGCUCCCGCCCCAUGCGGCCCAAGGCUCAGGGAAGCAAAGUGGCUCAAUAAAAACUUUUGAUAUUAGUUUUUAUGGGUAUUUGCACUCUGGUCAGGAGAGCUGAGUACGGAAGCUCCAUUAAUCAGCCACCAAGCUCAGGUUUGGAUGCUCGGUUGGU
rfam:Echinops telfairi cont1.754199, whole genome shotgun sequence.